CCCUUAGAUGUUCUGGGCCGCACGCGUGCUACACUGAGUGGAUCAGCGGGUCAGGUUGCGCGAAAGUGUUUCCUAAUCUUGAAAUCCGCUCGUGAUGGGGAUUGACGGUUGCAAUUUUCCGUCAUGAACGAGGAAUACCUUGUAAGCGCAGGUCAUCAUCCCGCGCUGAAUACGUCCCUGCCCUUUGUACACACCGCCCGUCGCUCCUACCGAUUGAGUGGUCCGGUGAGGCUUUGGGAUCUGAGCGGAAAGAGCGUUUCGCUGUUUCUGCUCGGAAAACUCAGUCGAACCUUAUCAUUUAGAGGAAGGAGAAGUCGUAACA
rnacentral:rRNA from 1 species